rnacentral:lncRNA from 1 species
UUAUAGAUCCUUAGAUAUCAAAAGUUACAGAGCUCUAAAAUUCCAUUACCCUUAAUCCUAAUAUAAAUGCAACCCUUCUGAAGUUGCAUACAGAACACUAAAUGAUCUUAUCCCUGCCUAGCAACAGGCAACAGGCAACAGGCAACAGCUAAAGGCUUAAAAAACAUCCAUAGUCCAUCAGUUUUAAUUUUUAAACACUAAAAAAUAUAGUCAUAUACUAGUUCAACUGUUCAAGAUUUCCCUUCUCCUUGCUUCUUUAAGCAAAAUAACUCCUUGCAAACCAGCUAUGUGCUAUGUGGAGCUGGCAUCAUUUUCCUUUGCAGCCGUCUCUUCCUGAAGUUUCUUUUUCCAGUAUGCAUCAACUGGGGGUCCAAAUAUAGCUUUGCCUGAAACGAUUCCAAUCCUACAAACCCAAUACAGUUAUUAACUAUAAUAAGUUCAAAAGCUACUUUAAAGUUGAAAGCUUUAGCAAUAUCCUUGUUAUAUAUGAAUCCAGAUUAGAAAGUUUAAAGCAAAAUGCAGAACAAAGCAAAUGCAGAAUCCCAACAACCCAUGAAUUAUGUGACACUUGAUUAUUUCUACAAAUCCUACCAGCUGAAUUAUGUGAUGUACCUUCUCUGGCGACAGGAAACCAUUAUUUCCCGUAACUAUGAUAAACCCGAACAACAUUUUGUAAGAUGUGACCAAAAAAACACUAAUGGUGGGAUUUCAGGAACAUAGUAAAACCCAUGUUCUACAAUUUUGAGAGGCUAAGAGCAUUCACAUCCUUAUCUCUAUCCCUACUCUGCAGUGCUAUUGGAUCAUUUUGUAUGAUAUAGAUCUAAUUUACCCAACAGGUUCCUUAUAUUGAUUACUUAAAUAAUGAAAUUUAAAAAUUAAAAAUUAAACUUUGAAAUACAUGUGAGAGAAGCUUACAGACCUUUCUCAAACAAAAUCCUAAUUCCAAUUUCCAACUAAUCUAUCCAACAACCAUAAUCAGAUAAAUAAUAGUACUAAUACAAAUAUUAUCUAAACCACUUUUUCUAAAUUUAGAUUUUAGACCCCCAAAUUUUUGAUUUUUUUUCCUUCCCUUUGCCUUUGUCUGUUAUAUGAUCUGCUCGACUUACCCGCCUAAACCUCCAAUUCUCAUUGCCAAUCAAUUGCAAUCGCAGUUUAAAAUAAAAAACAAAUCAACAAAAUCACUAUCAAUCCCCAAGAGGAAUAAACCAAUCCCCAAGAGGAAUAAACGAUCCCAAUCUUCAUCAUCAUCAAAAUCUCUUCAAUUUGGUAGAAGAAAUUUCAAUUCAGUAAUGGCGGUGGAGUCAAAUGAUGUAGUAGCGUCGGCAGUGAUUAUGCUAACACCCGACGCUAGUGGAAGGGUGAUCGUCCUUUUGUCGUUGCGGGCGUGGAGGAGUUUACUGGUUCUAAUCAACGCUUUUUUACUCAUUUUGAUCUUUCCAUUUCGCGGCCGGAAGCACUGCAGUGUUUCGUCGAUGGGUUCGUCGACUUUGUGUUCUUCGUCAUCGCCGGAGAAGGGUGGGAGGGAGAAGAGGGGGAAGAGAUUGCAAAUGACGCUGAAUUCCUUUACCCCUUUCUAAAGCUAACGUGUCUACUCAGUGAAAUGUCAUUUUGCAUACAUAGAGUCUACUCAGUGAAAUGUCAUUUUGCAUACAUAGAGAAUGAUUUUUUGACUCCCUCACCCUGAGGAGUAAAAUAAGGAUAAGAAAAUUGUUGGAUAAUAAUUUGUUGAUGUAUUCUUCAAAGAUAGUUUAUUGGGAAAACUGUUGUGAAUGCUCUAAUAACCGACUCUUCAACUAUAUGAGCUACUUCACCCACUUACUCAUGCACACAAUUGUGGUUCUUCCCUUCAUCAAAUUCAUGAGAAGUUUGCUCACAUGGGUGGUGCUUUUCAAGAUUGGUUAUUUGAAAUCCCAAUAUACACAAGAUUGGUUAUUUGAAAUCCCAAUAUACACAUUCUCAGCCUUUAUCACAGUAUUUCGAACAUAGAUUCUAUGUUCAUGAAGAAGACAAGCUACCCAAGAUAAAGCUUUCAUCUAAAAUGAGUAAUUUGUGAGAAUACUGACUUAUCAGAACCCGAAUCCUCUCUUAUGUUAGAUCUCAAACCCCAAGAAUCUAUUUGAAUUCAACCCCUCAAGUACCCCUUUUAGGGGAUGGUGCUUCAUUUGGAUGGGGAGAAGAGCGCUAGGAAAGAGAAGAGAUGACACAUGCAUCUUUUUCCACGAUAGAAUGGAAAGAAUGGGAUCAAAACGUUUACCUUCUAGCAAAUCAGAAAAUUCGUCUAGGUUCUUUUAUACAGUAUGGUUCAUGUCAGAACUAGAAUAUAUUUGAUGAUUGUUUAAGAUAAUUUUGAAUGCUAGUAUGCUACUAAACAGUUUCAUAAAGUUAAAAUUUGGAGCUUGGAUAGAAUCUAAGAUAUUUAUGGAUGUUUGAAAGUAAGGAUCUGGCUCCUCUACAGUUCCUAGCCUAAGGGGAUAAUCAACCAAGCCUUUCAUUUAGCGCAACAUGGCAAGUGAAACACAUGUUAGGAUAGGAUUAGAGUGAUUAGAGUACGUUUUAUUAAGCCUCUAACUUUAGUCUUUGAUAUCACAUCCUUUGAGAAUGAAUAAUUGGCAAUUCAUUAGCAAGAGCCAGGACAAAUGCAAAAAUCACUCAUAAAGCCAGAACCACGAUAUUUCUAUAAAAAAGAUACAUACAUAAAAGAAUCCUAAAAAAAUUUAAACAGAACAUUCGAUAUUUACUGGCAAACAAAACCCAAGUUGUCUGUCUCAUAAAUAACUAUAACAAAGUGCAAAUCGAGAAGGAAAGAAGCUUACACGACAGCUCCAAUAACGAGAGGCAACGACAGGAACCGCUGUCGAUUGAACAUGUUGAACUUUGAUCUCUCUGUCCCUUCGACUCGGCCAUAUUCGGAUUUUCUGACCCAAAAGUUGGGUAAAAUGGUAGACGCAGGCCCAUCAAUUUAAUGGUUGGUUGAUACUUUUAUAAACCCAUUGGGUAGUUCAGUACUGGUAACCCAUCUCACUAUUGAAAAGAGGUUUGGAAGCGGAAGUAUUCCGUGUCACAAGGUAGCGGGCCUUAGCCUGGCAACUUGGACUGACAUACGGAUCCAUCUUUUUUUCAUUACAAAACCCAACAGGACACACACGUACUUACUUCAUAAGAUUUCAUCACCAUACAAUUAAAAGCAUAUUAUAUAUAAAAAUAAAACUACUCCAACGUACAAUUGAUGCUAAGCUUCAUUAACAGAACAUGCAAUUAAGAUUCCAUUGUUGUCUAUAUAUCGAAACAACGAAUAUAUAUAUAUAUAUGGGUCUCUAUCCACAGCAACCGAUUGUUGGGGAGCAACCCAUUUUGGCCAGCCGCUACAAGCUCUACCGGCCGGUUGCUGUGGAUGGAGACCCUAUAUAUAUAUAUAUAUAUAUAUAUAUAUAUAUAAAAAGUAUAGUAGUCUUGCACUAAAUAAAUUACCAAACAUAUUUUUGAUGAUCCUUUCCUUGUAAAGUACUGUCCAAAUUGUAACCAAAAAACAUUCAUAUGUAUGUAUGAACUUUAUUGUAAAGAAAUAUACAGCAUGCACAUGGAGGCUGACCCCUUAAAUCCUAAAACUUCAUCUGGAGUGCCUAGAAAUGGUCAAAUCACGCGAGUAGCUCUACUACUUGCUUCACCAGCUUCAUAUGUUAUAAAGAAAGUACUAGGAUUGAGCCUAAGGUGGACCAGAAAAGCUCAUUCACAGGCAUUAUGGUCUGGUGUUUUAAGGGAGAUGGAGUGGCCACAGCC